rnacentral:rRNA from 1 species
AUGACAAUUAACAAGGCUUAAGGGCAGACCAUCCCGAUUGUUGGCGUGUACCUAUCUAAUCCGGUGUUCACUCAUGAUCAACUCUAUGUCGCGUUGUCUCGAGCCACCGCGAAGAGAAACAUAAAGAUCCUCAUUGACAAGGAGAAGGAGAAGGAGAAGGAGGGCAAGCCGGAUCGGUUUAAACGGGCCAUCAAGGUAGCCGGAUCAUUGCAAAGUUAUCAUGCGGACCGAGCAGCUUUCCUACCAACACACAUGACCUACCUAUAA